rnacentral:rRNA from 1 species
GAUGAACGCUGGCGGCGUGCCUAAUACAUGCAAGUCGAGCGAACAGACGAGGAGCUUGCUCCUCUGACGUUAGCGGCGGACGGGUGAGUAACACGUGGAUAACCUACCUAUAAGACUGGGAUAACUUCGGGAAACCGGAGCUAAUACCGGAUAAUAUAUUGAACCGCAUGGUUCAAUAGUGAAAGACGGUUUUGCUGUCACUUAUAGAUGAAUCCGCGCCGCAUUAGCUAGUUGGUAAGGUAACGGCUUACCAAGGCAACGAUGCGUAGCCGACCUGAGAGGGUGAUCGGCCACACUGGAACUGAGACACGGUCCAGACUCCUACGGGAGGCAGCAGUAGGGAAUCUUCCGCAAUGGGCGAAAGCCUGACGGAGCAACGCCGCGUGAGCGAUGAAGGUCUUCGGAUCGUAAAACUCUGUUAUUAGGGAAGAACAAAUGUGUAAGUAACUAUGCACGUCUUGACGGUACCUAAUCAGAAAGCCACGGCUAACUACGUG